CUUUCUUUAAAGCUUUAUUUGCCUCCUGCAAGGGGGUGUUUUGGUCAGACUUGGUGUCAUCUCGUGCAGCCAAAGAGAAGGAUGUGUUUGGCCCUGCCAGGGAGGAGGUUUGUGAGUAGAGAUUCCCAGCCACUGUAGGACAGGGGAACCCCAGUGUGGCAAGGGCACAGCUCUCCCGGAUUAAUGUACACCGUGAUAUCCCCAGCUCACACGGAGAGGAGGCUCCUGUAGACAUCUUCCCAUGGGCUCACAAAGGUGUCCAUCCACCUGUGCCACCAUGUCAACUGCCCUUUGACCAUGGCAACUGCCAGGAGUGCAUGAAGACUGGAGGAAAGUGAAUGUCACUCCUAUCUUCUAGAAAGACAAGAGGGAGGACCCAGAGAAUUGCCAGACAAUUUCACCUCAAUCCCUGGCAAGGAUAUGGAGCAUCUCAUCCUAGAAACCAUUUAACAGUCAGAUGAAGGAGAAGAAAAUCACCUGUACUUGUCAGCGUGGCUUCAGCAAGUGGAAGUCAUCCUUGAUAAACUUGAUAAGCUUCUGCAAUGAAAUGACCAGUCUAUGGAUGAGGGGACAUCAGUGGCUAUAGUCUUAAAGGACUUUGCUAAGGUCUUUGACACUGUGCCUCAGAAGAUCUUCCUAGAGAAGCUGUUGAUGUAUGGGCUGGAUGGGUGGACAGUGAAGUGCUUCAAAUCCUGGCUGAAUGGUUUGGCCCAGAGAGUAGCAGCCAGGAGUGCAAAGUUUAGCCAGUAACAUGCAGUGUACCCCAGGAGUCACUGCUGGGUCCAAUUCUGUUAAUCUUAUCUUCAUUAAUCAUCUGUACAAGGGGGUAGAGUGCACCAUCAUCAGGUUUGCUGAUGACACCAGGCUGGGAGGAGUGGCUGAUAAGCCAGAGGGACCUGGAAAGGCUGGAGAACUGGGCUGAUAGGAACCUCAUAAAGCUCAGCACGGAGAAGUGCAAAGUCCUGCACCUGGGGAGGAAAAACCGUAGGCACCAGGACAUGCUGGUGACCACACAGGUGAAAGGCAGCCUUGCAGAAAUAGACCUAGAGGCCUGGGGGACACCAAACUGAACAUAAAUCAGCAAUGGGCCCUUUGCUGCCAACAGGGCUGCAUCAGGCAAAGGAUUGCCAGUAGGUCAAGGGAGGCGAUCCUUCCCCUCUGCUCAGCACUGCUCUUGAGUCCUCUGGUUCUGAUGGACCUCUGGUGGCAAGGCAGGAAAAUAAGGAUGCUCAGUGAGAUAAACCAACUCCAGCCUGACAGACCACAUGUGAAUGUUCCUUUAGCAUGUAAAGGUGGUGGGGAUGCUUCCACAUGAGCAAUAGGGGAGUCCUGGCCACCAGGGCUAGGCACAGACACCUGCGUGGUGGGACCCUGCUAGCCAGAGCCCCCUGUGCCCUGCAUGGUCUCCAUCAGGAGUCUGGCCAGCAGCACUCACCCUAAAACACACAGAGUAGAGGUAGGAUAAAAAAACCCAACUACUUAGGAGUGCUCACGCAUUCACGCAUUUACUGGCAUUGCUGUCACCAAAAUAUAUUCUGGAAAGUAUGGCACAGGCCUGCAAUUCAUUUAACACAGCCCUGGGCUAAGAAGAAAACAGGAACUGCCCUCCUGAAAUCUUCUAAUGGGCCUUCUCCUCCAGUCUCCUGUUGCUGAUAAAGUCCAAAUUCAUAAGGCACAGAGGAAGUCAUAAAAUUGGUGCCGUGAUCCCAGUGCCUGAGCCAAAGGCAGCUGAAAGUCAAUGGAAAGGCUCUCAUUGACCUGAACGUGCUGUGAAGUUGGUGUUUGUGGCAUUAAGUCUCUAUGGGAAAAGAUGAGGGAAGGGAAAUGUAUGGGAGUAGGACUGCAAGUCCUCACUAAAACUGUCUGUUCCUUAAUCUUUUAUCUCCAGCAUCAGUGGAGGUGCUGCCAGACCAUUGCAUGCCUCUGUCCCUGCAUGCCAGGCACCCUCUCCCUGGAGAAAAGCGGGAAGCUUUGGUUUAUUCAAUUUUUUCCCCAUGCCGAAGUCUAUUUAAUAUCAAGUUUAUUGUGUUGUGUUUGUUUUGGAUUUUUUUUUUUCAUUCUGGCCCCACAAACGCCUCCUGGGCAGGUCAGUACGUCUCCCAGGCUACCUCUCUGUUGUGCGUCUGGAGCCUGCAGGACCCGAGGAGACCUCCAUCGCGCAGUCUGAGCACCGCUUCCCUGAUGAGGCUCAA